rnacentral:rRNA from 1 species
CCUACGGGUGGCAGCAGUGAGGAAUAUUGGUCAAUGGGCGGAAGCCUGAACCAGCCAAGUAGCGUGCAGGAUGACGGCCCUACGGGUUGUAAACUGCUUUUAUACGGGAAUAACGCGCCUUACGUGUAGGGCUUUGCAUGUACCGGAUGAAUAAGGACCGGCUAAUUCCGUGCCAGCAGCCGCGGUAAUACGGAAGGUCCGGGCGUUAUCCGGAUUUAUUGGGUUUAAGGGGCGCGUAGGCCGCAGGUCAAGCGUGGUGUGAAAUGUCCGGGCUCAACCCGGGCCGUGCAGCGCGAACUGGCGGGCUUGAGUGCGCGGGAAGCACGCGGAAUGCGUCGUGUAGCGGUGAAAUGCUUAGAUAUGACGAAGAACCCCGAUUGCGAAGGCAGCUUGCUGGAGCGGAACUGACGCUGAUGCUCGAAAGCGCGGGUAUCGAACAGGAUUAGAUACCCGAGUAGUC